AUCAAAACUACAAUGAGGUAUCACUUCACACCAGUUAGAAUGGGCAUCAAUCAGAAAAUCCAAACAACAAAUGCUGGAGAGGGUGUGGAGAAAAGGGAACCCUCUUACACUGUUGGUGGGAAUGUAAAUUGAUACAGCCACUAUGGAGAACAGUAUGGAGGUUCCUUAAAAAACUACAAAUAGAACUAUCAUAUGACCCAGCAAUCCCACUACUGGGCGUAUACCCUGAGAAAACCAUAAUUCAAAAAGAGUCAUGUACCAAAAUGUUCAUUGCAGCU